rnacentral:rRNA from 1 species
GAGUGAUCGAAAGAUGAAAAGCACUUUGAAAAGAGAGUUAAACAGCACGUGAAAUUGUUGAAAGGGAAGCGCUUGCGACCAGACUCGCUCGCGGGGUUCAGCCGGCCUUCGGGCCGGUGUACUUCCCCGCGGGCGGGCCAGCGUCGGUUUGGGCGGCCGGUCAAAGGCCCUCGGAAUGUAACGCCCCCCGGGGCGUCUUAUAGCCGAGGGUGCCAUGCGGCCAGCCCGGACCGAGGAACGCGCUUCGGCUCGGACGCUGGCAUAAUGGUCGUAAGCGACCC